UGACCUCGGAUGCAGACGUGAUUACCCGUGAAUUUUUAAGGCAUAUUAUUAAGCGGAGGAAAGAAACUAACAAGGAUUCCCCUAGUAACAGGCGAUACUGUGAACGGGGAAGAGCGCAACACCGGAAUCCCAUUAGGCGCAAGUCAACGGGAAUGUGGUGUUAAGGUAGCCCUUCGUGUCAGUCUAGCGCGUUUCUCAAGUCCACCUAGAUUGUGGCUCAAGCCCAGAGAGGGUGUAAGGCCUCGUAGAGACGCUCCGCACUGAUUCCUGGCGGUUUACCUUACGAGUCCGCUUGUUUGGGAAUGCAGGCCAAAGCGUGGUGGUAAACUCCAUCAAGGCUAAAUACUGGCACGAGUCCGAUAGAACCGGACAAGUACCGGUGAGGCCGAAGUUGAAAAGAACUUUGAAGAGAGAGUUCAAUAGUACGUGAAACCGCUUAGAGGCAAACGGCAUGGUGCUCAUACUGGCCUGAGCGGAUUCAACUGUGU
rnacentral:ncRNA from 1 species